rnacentral:rRNA from 1 species
UACAGGGGGGCAAGCGUUGUUCGGAUUUACUGGGCGUAAAGCGCACGUAGGCGGAUCGUUAAGUCGGGGGUGAAAUCCUGGAGCUCAACUCCAGAACUGCCUUCGAUACUGGAGAGCUUGAGUCCGGGAGAGGUGAGUGGAACUGCGAGUGUAGAGGUGAAAUUCGUAGAGUAUUCGCAAGAACACCGGUGGCGAAGGCGGCUACACUGGCCCGGUACUGACGCUGAGGUGCGAAAGCGUGGGGAGCAA